rnacentral:misc_RNA from 1 species
CGCACAUUGCGCCCUCUGGUAUUCCGGGGGGCAUGCCUGUUCGAGCGUCAUUACAACCCUCAAGCUCUGCUUGGUAUUAAGCUUCACCUGAAAAGGCGGGCUCUAAAAUCAGUGGCGGUGCCAUUCGGCUUCAAGCGUAGUAAUUGUUCUCGCUUUGGAUGACCGGUUGCGUGCCUGCCAUAACCCAAAUUUUAUCAAAGGUUGACCUCGGAUCAGGUAGGGAUACCCGCUGAACUUAA